AAAAUAAUAUAUUGAUGUCUAUUAAUAAUGCAAGAAAACUAUAGUUUUGCGACAAUGGAAGACAUAAGAUCAGUAGGCAGUAGCAUAAAGAGCUCAGCCUUCCAUAGUUCCAAAUCAGUCAGGAUUAAGAAAAAAAAUCCAUAUUUCAAUGUAAAAUAAUACUUCCUCAAACAUUCAAAGUGUUGAACCCUACAAAUACAUACAACUUAGCUUAGCUUAAAUUAUUGUACAGAAACACAUAAGGUAGUAGAGAAACUCCCUCAUCAUAAGAACAUAACCACAAGGCUCCUUUCUCCGGAUUGCUCACUGAGAUUAUUGGAAUGCUAGAAGAACUCUUUGCAAGUCUAGAUAAACGACAACUGUUGUUUCCAAAAAAAAGCAAGAAGAAAUCACAAAACAUAUAAUUACUGAGUCAAAAAUAUCAAAACCACAAACGAAACUAAUAAAGCUAGCAUCACUUAUCAUUCUCCUAAUAAAUUGAUCGAAAAAAACAGGAUAGCAACCAAAAAACUUACUGAAAUUUAAACUUUUUAUUUUAAGCUGAAAUUAGAAGUAAAAAGUUAGGCACCAAUAAGAGUUCUUCCUGAAUAUCUAAACAUACGUCCCUAGAAAAACAAUAGGUCGAAAUAUCAGUUAAACGUGCAAAGCCUGACAUUCAUUUCCAUAAAUGUUGAACCACAUGUACAUGACCAAACCACACGUAUGUUAUCAAGGUUCCUUCCCAUAAGUAGUACUUCGUAGUUGAUUUUCAUGUGACAGAAAAGAAAAGGUGAAAUCAAUGGUUUUUUAGGUUUUAAAACCAAAAGCAAUAUUUUUUGUUAUCCCUGGGAAUGAAACAAAAAUUAUUUGUUUGAUGGUCUACUACAUCCAAAUAUUUAACCUAGAAUAACAGAUAUCAGCUAUAACAGAGAAACAAUAUAUACAAUCCUAUGAAGGCUAAAAACAGAUAAAAGGUGCAACACUUCCACAUUUACCUACAUAUUUCCAAUUAAAUGGGCAAAAAGAACCAGACCCGAGAUGGCAAUAAGUGUAACAAAUGCAGUUUUCAAACCCUGGCCGAUGGAACUGAAAAUAUAAAAAGCAAAAAAAUCCGUUAAAAGGUUAUAUAAUCAACCUUCACAGAACACUUUUUACCACUACUCACGCAUUCUAUGCGGAUGAAGUAUAUAAGUUUGGAACAGAGCUAUUUUACGUUGCAAAAAAAAAGUGAUUAUCAAUUUAUGAGUCAUGAAGAUAAUCAUAUGUUUAGUCUUUGCAUGAGUACGGGGGAGGGGGACCAAAAGCUUCAAUUAAUUCCCAAGCAUUGAUUCAAACAGCAAAUAAAGAUGAUAAAAGUUUCAUCUGCCAUCACUUGUAAUGGAAUUCAACUUUUUUGGUACUUUCAUAAAUUUGUACCUCAGAUUCUGCAAGCCCUACCAAAACCAGUAGAAUUACUUCUCAAGAAAGUCAGAUGAGACAACCUUUUGUGUGAUAGCAUUUGCAAAUAUCCCAUAAUAAAAAAUAGUAAUGUUUUUUGGAUUACAGCCAUUAAACACCUGAGUAUUGUUUCCUCACAGUUUGCUUUCAUCUUUGUUCAAAGUACCACAAUCCAAAUAAGAGAGACUGCACUUUCAUGUCUAUAAGCAUACUUGCAAUACGUCACCUGACGCUCAAUUGACAACAGAUACCAUGAGGCUCCUAAGACCUACAAGAUCAGAAGGCUAAUCAUUGCAAGACUGCUAAGAGUAGAAUACUAUUCAGACCCAAAAGCAUUUUUAUACAGAAGUAGACAAAAUAGUAAUGCUAAAUCAUCUAAAAUAGAAGAAUGAUAGCCCGUCAUGCUCCAACUGAAGAAUUAAGAAUACUGGAAAACAGAAUUUAGGGAGUCUUGCCCUUAGUAUUUUCACCUAAAGUGGUUGUUGCUCUUAAAACUGUUCCUCUACCCUUGAGCAAGACUUCUACUAUUGCAGCAUGCAAUGGCCCAGCUAUUAACAAAAUAUUAGCAUACAAAAUUUGACUUGAGAUUAUAUACAUGAUUAGCCAACAUAUAGAGCAGGAGGUUAUAGGUAGCCCCAGCCUAAGCAGUCUUUCUGACUAUUCCAGUGGCUUUAAUGAUCUCAGAAUCGUGGAAAGUAUUGGAGCAAAACAAUCAGUAGAAGAGCAUUGUUGGUAUAAUCAGAAUAGAGCCUCUAAUUGCCAGAAUAAUAAACCAUGUCACAAUCUGCAAAAAAUAUCCGAACUCAUUUUUGCUUAUGAUUUAAAUUCUGUGAAUUAAAAGAGGCUAAUAAUACACAAGCUCCACAUACGAGGAUCCAAAAUAAAAACCUGUGCACAAGUUUAUUUUCACUACUACUUAAGAGUAUUAAUUAAAUAAAAGUUUAUGGAUAAUGACAUCCAGAAUAGCUUAUUUUCCAAUCUUUAACCUACAACCUGAUGAGAGAAAGGGACUUCUGGGAAGUAAGGAACCAAAUGAAUUAGAAACACCAUAACUUCCCUCGAUCAAUCUAAUUUAAUCAUAUUCAAAAUAGAAAACCCAUUAUUCAAAGAAAAAAGAACUCCCUCAUGAUUAAUGCUCUAUGACAACACUGGCUGGAGUUAAUACUUGAAAGAUGUGCUAAGAAGAUCUUAGCCUUCCAUAGUUCCAAAUCAGUCAGGAUUAAAAAAAAAAGAAUUAUAUUUCAAUGUAAAAUAAUACUUCCUCAAACAUUCAAAGUGUUGAACCCUACAAAUACAUACAACUUAGCUAGCUUAAAUUAUUGUACAUUCUCUAGUAAGAAUAUUAGGAGUUAAUACUGUUGACUAAAACAGAAACACAUAAGGGAGUAUAGAAACUCCCUCAUCAUAAAAACAUAACUGCAAGGCUCCUUUCUCCGGAUUGCUCACUGAGAUUAUUAGAAUGCUAGAAGAACUCUUUUCAAGUCUAGAUAAACGACAGUUGUUGUUUCCAAAAAAAGCAAGAAGAAAUCACAAAACAUAUAAUUACUGAGUCAAAAAUAUCAAAACCACAAACGAAACUAAUAAAGCUAGCAUCACCUCACCCUUCUCCUAACAAAUUGAUCGAAAAAACAGGAUAGCAACCAAAAAACUUACUGAAAUUUAAACUUUUUGUUUUAAGCUGAAAUUAGAAGUAAAAAGUUAGGCACCAAUAAGAGUUCUUCCUGAAUAUCUAACCAUAUGUCCCUAGAAAAGCAAUAGGUUGAAAUGUUAGUUAAACGUGCAAAGCCUGAUAUUCAUUUCCAUAAAUGUCGAACCACAUGUACAUGACCAAACCAGACCUAUGUUAUCAAGGUUCCUUCCCAUAAAUGUCUGUCCAUAAAAAGACGAGUUGGGUAAGAAGAAACUUUUUAUUCUCAACCAGAACUAAUUGUCAGACACAGACCAAACUAAUGAUCAAGAUGAUUGGCCAACUUUAAUCUAUCUACUUAACAAACAUAUUUUAAAAAAAGAUUAGCUAAAAAGAAAAGACUCCAAACAGAUACUUGACAAUCAACCCACUAAAUGGAUUUUCAAAAUAAGAAGGAAAACAGAGAAUGGAUUAAAACUCCCUACAGAAAGAUGAUCACUAAAAUCUUAUUGUUACACCUAAUAAGAUCAUUAAAUACAUUUUACCCAUAAUAUUUAAGAUGCAAAGCAAAGCAGAAUUAUCGAAUAGAAAUAAAAAGUGAAAUAAUUUACCAUUUUGGUACUUGAGGCUCUUUUUCCCUUCUCUCAGUUGGAUGCUUUCUUGAUUGAAUUUAUUUAGAGCUUCUAUAACCAAAAAAGAGUGCAAAAAUAGCUCUACUCCCAGUAGAAAAGAAAUGAAAAUAUAUGAUAUAAAUAAAUAAACCACAGGCAAUCGAUUUCUUGUUCUUACUAAAGCGUCCAACAAUAUAAAUACAAACAAAAAUCACAUAAAAAUUUGCAGCUAGCUAACCUUCAAAAUUUGCAUCAUUAUACUGCAAUUGACCCAGGCUGGAGAGCGGACAAGGUAGCCAAUGUGUGCUAAAAUGCCAUGAUGCAUAGCAUGUAAUACAGAAGACGACAUAGCCAAUAUAUGCCAAAAUGCCAAAAGAAUUUCUUUUUUUAAAAAAAAGUAUUAGCAAACAUUUUAGUAAAAUAGAAGAUAUUUAUUUCAUAUUUUUAUCUAAACUG
rnacentral:lncRNA from 1 species